UUAUAUUUUAUUGGGUUUAGAAGGACAAGUGAAGUCCUUUCUUGGAAUUAUAUUUUUGAAUAUCAGCUGGAAGUUGAUUCUGACGCUCCUUUGUUCCAUUCUGUGUUAGAUAAAAAAAACAGCGUGAAUGUGUUCAUUUCAAAUGGGAUGGAGAUAAGCUAAAAAAUUGUUCGGCCGUAUCGCCGUCAAGGUUUCAUUGCUUUUUCAGUUGGAGUUUGCCGCUGAGAUAUAUGAUUUAAUUUUGAGUUUACGCUUCUACAAAUUUGAUCUCAUGUGUGUGAGCAAAAUUCCCUGGGCCAGACCUCCAUACUGGCUAAAGAUACAAACAUCUCAGGACAUGCUGACCUACGAGGAUCAAGGAGGCCUGGAGUAAACAUAUGCCUUCACGGUAUUCAGGUUCUAAUUCGUCUUUUUAUAUGGAUGGGUUUACUUGUGCUUAUGGCAGUGAUUCCUCAGAGGAUGAUAGUAUAAUGCAAG